rnacentral:rRNA from 1 species
GCCUACGACCAUCUCACCCUGAAUGCGCCCGAUCUCGUCUGAUCUCGGAAGCUAAGCAGAGUCGAGCCUUGUUAGUACUUGGAUGCGAGACUGCCUGGGAAUACCAGGUGUUGUAGGCU